rnacentral:rRNA from 1 species
AGUCGAGCGGCAGCACAGGUACUUGUACCGGGUGGCGAGCGGCGGACGGGUGAGUAAUGCCUAGGAAUCUGCCUGGUAGUGGGGGAUAACGCUCGGAAACGGACGCUAAUACCGCAUACGUCCUACGGGAGAAAGCAGGGGACCUUCGGGCCUUGCGCUAUCAGAUGAGCCUAGGUCGGAUUAGCUAGUUGGUGGGGUAAUGGCUCACCAAGGCGACGAUCCGUAACUGGUCUGAGAGGAUGAUCAGUCACACUGGAACUGAGACACGGUCCAGACUCCUACGGGAGGCAGCAGUGGGGAAUAUUGGACAAUGGGCGAAAGCCUGAUCCAGCCAUGCCGCGUGUGUGAAGAAGGUCUUCGGAUUGUAAAGCACUUUAAGUUGGGAGGAAGGGCAGUUGCUUAAUACGUGACUGUUUUGACGUUACCGACAGAAUAAGCACCGGCUAACUCUGUGCCAGCAGCCGCGGUAAUACAGAGGGUGCAAGCGUUAAUCGGAAUUACUGGGCGUAAAGCGCGCGUAGGUGGUUUGUUAAGUUGAAUGUGAAAUCCCCGGGCUCAACCUGGGAACUGCAUCCAAAACUGGCAAGCUAGAGUAUGGUAGA